rnacentral:rRNA from 1 species
AACGAACGCUGGCGGCGUGCCUAACACAUGCAAGUCGUGCGAGAAAGUUCCUUCGGGAGCGAGUAAAGCGGCGCACGGGUGAGUAACACGUAGGUAACCUGCCCCCAGUCUGGAACAACUAGAGGAAACUCUAGCUAAUGCCGGAUAAGACCACGGCCCCUCGGGGGCUGCGGCCAAAGAUGGCCUCUACUUGUACGCUAUCGCUGAGGGAUGGGCUUGCGGGCCAUUAGCUUGUUGGUGAGGUAACGGCUCACCAAGGCUGUGAUGGCUAGCUGGUCUGAGAGGAUGACCAGCCACACUGGGACUGAGACACGGCCCAGACUCCUACGGGAGGCAGCAGUGGGGGAAUAUUGGACAAUGGGCGAAAGCCUGAUCCAGCAAUGCCGCGUGAGUGAUGAAGGCCUUA